AUUGAACGCUGGCGGCAUGCCUUACACAUGCAAGUCGAACGGCAGCACGGGAGCAAUCCUGGUGGCGAGUGGCGAACGGGUGAGUAAUAUAUCGGAACGUGCCCAGUCGUGGGGAUAACGUAGCGAAAGCUACGCUAAUACCGCAUACGAUCUAUGGAUGAAAGCGGGGGAUCGCAAGACCUCGCGCGAUUGGAGCGGCCGAUAUCAGAUUAGGUAGUUGGUGAGGUAAAGGCUCACCAAGCCGACGAUCUGUAGCUGGUCUGAGAGGACGACCAGCCACACUGGGACUGAGACACGGCCCAGACUCCUACGGGAGGCAGCAGUGGGGAAUUUUUGGGACAAUGGGCGCAAGCCUGAUCCAGCAAUGCCGCGUGCAGGAUGAAGGCCUUAGGGUUGUAAAGCUCUUUUUACCAGGGAUGAUAAUGACAGUACCUGGAGAAUAAGCUACCGGCUAACUCCGUGCCAGCAGCCGACGG
rnacentral:rRNA from 1 species